rnacentral:rRNA from 1 species
GACGAACGCUGGCGGCGUGCCUAAUACAUGCAAGUCGAAAGCAGUGGGGACGGGUGAGUAACACGUGGGUAACCUCCCAUCAGAGGGGAUAACACUUGGAAACAGGUGCUAAACCGAUACUGGUGGAUUGACCCGCGGUGCAUUAGCUAGUGGGUGAGGUAACGGCUCACCAAGGCCACGAGGCAUAGCCGACCUGAGAGGGGGAUCGGCCACACUGGGACUCAGACACGGCCCAGACUCCGACGGGAGGCAGCAGUAGGGAAUCUUCCGCAAUUGGCGCAAGCCUGACGGAGCAACGCCGCGUGAGUGAAGAAGGUUUUCGGAUCGUAAAGCUCUGUUGUAAGAGAAGCGGUAUCUUACCAGAAAGCCACGGCUAACUACGUGCCAGCAGCCGCGGUAAUUC